UGCUUGGAGCUGUUACACCUAUGUAGCGGCCAUCAAAGUGGAGGCCCUCUCUUGAGCCUGAAUGAGAAAGUGCUUCCACUUUGUGUGCCACUGCAUGGGGAAAACAUCAUAGCUUUGC
rnacentral:pre_miRNA from 7 species